CCUACGGGAGGCAGCAGUGGGGAAUAUUGGACAAUGGGCGAAAGCCUGAUCCAGCAAUGCCGCGUGAGUGAUGAAGGCCUUAGGGUUGUAAAGCUCUUUUACUAGGGAUGAUAAUGACAGUACCUAGAGAAUAAGCCCCGGCUAACUCCGUGCCAGCAGCCGCGGUAAUACGGAGGGGGCUAGCGUUGUUCGGAAUUACUGGGCGUAAAGAGUACGUAGGCGGUUAUUCAAGUCAGAGGUGAAAGCCUGGAGCUCAACUCCAGAACUGCCUUUGAAACUAGAUAGCUAGAAUCAUGGAGAGGUUAGUGGAAUUCCGAGUGUAGAGGUGAAAUUCGUAGAUAUUCGGAAGAACACCAGUGGCGAAGGCGACUAACUGGACAUGUAUUGACGCUGAGGUACGAAAGCGUGGGGAGCAAACAGGAUUAGAUACCCUGGUAGUCCACGCCGUAAACGAUGAUAACUAGCUGUUCGGGCUCUCAGAGCUUGAGUGGCGCAGCUAACGCAUUAAGUUAUCCGCCUGGGGAGUACGGUCGCAAGAUUAAAAACUCAAAAGGGAAUUUGACCGGGCUGAGACGUGCCGAACGGACGACCGACGAAGGGGAAGGUUAAGG
rnacentral:rRNA from 1 species